AACGAACGCUGGCGGCGUGCCUAAUACAUGCAAGUAGAACGCAGUUGGGAACGGGUGAGUAACGCAUAGGUCACUGCAUGGUAGCGGGGGCUAAAUAUUGGAACCGAUAGCUCAUACCGCAUACUACCAGGUUGAGCUGCGUUGUAUUAGAUAGUUGGUGGGGUAACGGCCCACCAAGGCAACGAUACAUAGCCGCCCUUAGAGGGUGAGCGGCCAAACUGGGACCUGGACACGGGCCAGACUCCGUCGGGAGGGAGCAGUAGGGAAUCUUCGGCAAUUGGGGGAACCCUUACCGAGCAACGCCGCGUGAGUUAAGAAGGUCUUCGGAGCUGAAAGCUCUGUUGUUAAGGAAGCGGUACUUAACGAGAAAGGGACGGCUAACUACGUGCCAGCAGCCGCGGUAAUUC
rnacentral:rRNA from 1 species